GAUGAACGCUGGCGGCGUGCCUAAUACAUGCAAGUCGAGCGAACGGACGAGAAGCUUGCUUCUCUGAUGUUAGCGGCGGACGGGUGAGUAAUACGUGGAUAACCUACCUAUAAGACUGGGAUAACUUCGGGAAACCGGAGCUAAUACCGGAUAAUAUUUUGAACCGCAUGGUUCAAAAGUGAAAGACGGUCUUGCUGUCACUUAUAGAUGGAUCCGCGCUGCAUUAGCUAGUUGGUAAGGUAACGGCUUACCAAGGCAACGAUGCAUAGCCGACCUGAGAGGGUGAUCGGCCACAGUGGAACUGAGACACGGUCCAGAGUCCUACGGGAGGCAGCAGUAGGGAAGCUUCCGAAAUGGGCGAAAGCCUGACGGAGCAACGCCGCGUGAGUGAAGAAGGGCUUCGGAUCGUAAAACUCUGUUAUGAGGGAAGAACAUAUGUGUAAGUAACUGUGCACAUCUUGACGGUACCUAAACAGAAAGCCACGGCUAACUACGU
rnacentral:rRNA from 1 species